GGAUCCCGCCUUGGAACUCGCUCUUUCCGAGUGGGACAGCAGAGGGUUGAUCGAGUCUGCGUGCCCGGGAGCCGGGGUGCGUGCCUCGGUGGAAAGUGAAGCUCAAGAUGUGUUUGUUACUGGCUUUGGGAAUCCUCAGUCUGGACUCUGCCAUGCCUUGCAAGCAGAAAGACGCCACGUGAAUUCUGAAGCUGCAGAAGUAAAUAUUUCUUACUGUACUUAAGGAUCUUGAGGAAAGCCUCAUGAUUAUGGCAGCUAUAAAAUCUCCUAAGAGUUGUCCCCCAUAACAAAGCAGGUGCAAUCCAAGAAUCCCAAAGGAGUCAGAAGGGAGAGGUUUUGUGAUAUCAGAUGAUCAUCUCUACUGUCUUCCAGCCUCGUGCGUGCACACAGAGCAAGAAAGAGAGUUCACCCACUUCUAGAAGUGCAGGUGUUCAAGAAGCUUGAAAACAGCAGCCUGGAAUGUGGAGUUCUAAUGCACUUGGAAAUUCUUCCCAUUGCCCUUCCUGCUCUUCAGAAAUACUGCUUGGUUCUGUAGUAUGGCAGGGGAGUAGCUGUUCACUGAAAACGUCUGAAUAAUCCUGGAGUGAAGUUCAAGGCAGAAUGUCGCUGUAGAAGAAGAGGCUUUAUAGGCACUCUUAGAACUUUGUAUGAAUAUUUGAGUGUGUCAAAUAUAUGCAUCAAAAGUGAAUAAAGCAAGGUUUAAAAUGUGGGAAGACCUGUGUUGUCUGAAUUAGAGUUUACAAUGUUAGUAGUGGAAAUUAAUAAAAUCUUAAGUUUCUGUUUUCAGUGACUUGAUAUUUUUUUUUUUUGUUGUUGAGGGUAUGGGAGUAGUAGCACUGUGAUCCUGCUGGAUGUCAUCCUGGGUAGGAGUUACACAAGCCUUAAGUAUUCAGCUUGUCCAGAUUUGACAGGAAGUCUGCAAAUUUACUGCUGCUUUUUAUUUAAUGUGUAUCUCUUGGAUUUAGGACUUGCUGAGGAUUAUGUCUAGUGCUGUAUCCUUACUAGGAUGAUGAAAUACUGGAAAACCCAAUACUGGGGAAGCAUACUGUGCUUCAAACGCUUCAUCUUUUACCACACCAUUGUUCCCACUUGUUUUUACAGWGAAGUAAAGCUGAAUUCAUUGAGCUGCCUGUCUGCCAGGUAGUCUACUAUUUUUUUACCUGAGUGUAGGACUCUACUAUCCCCUGCAGUCUAUAUAAAAUAAUGUGUAAACACUGGAUUUUGCAGGUUGAGGUGUUCCGGUGGGUUUCUUUUGUGGUUUGUUACUUUUGUGGGCUUUGUUGUUGUGUUUGGGUUUGGGCUUUGGUUGCAGGAGCAUUCAGCAUCCUUGUCUUAUCUCAUGUUGCUGUAAAGUAAAAAAAGACACAGAACAUGAACCAGUAUGAUAAC